AUCCAGCCGACAACUCCCAAAUAGGAUGAAACGCGUGUCAUGGAU
rfam:Schistosoma mansoni strain Puerto Rico chromosome W, complete genome